CAGACAAAGAGAUGUAUGCAAACAGUUUGGAGUAUAAAAGCACACCGGGCAACGAACCAUUGUUGUCCCCUCGAGCCCUUUAGGGCGGGCAACAGUUUUGGCGUCCCUGGGUGGGCUCGAGGCUGAAAUUUAGCCUUGCCCGGAUCCCUCCUGGUGGCCGAUGGAUUACGACGACGACCAACGCCCAGAGCUCACCGGUGACUUCAUCGGGGGCCUCGGCAGAGACGUGGUUUGCUCGACCCCGGAGGGCACAACGGUGCAACGCACACAGACAGUGGAGAAGCAGCUGCGGGCGACGGUGGGGAACCGGUCCCGUUGAUAGGGCGACGGUGACGGUGCAGAACCGGACCUUUGGAUAAGGUACACCAAAAAUUCACAGCCUCUUCUGCUAAAUACCCCGGGUCCACUCCCUGCAGCCUAAUAACUCCGUUCUCGUACAAACCUGAAAGAACAAGCCUCUCCAAGAAAAGUGAAAGGAACCCCACACCAUCCUGCUUGUCACCCAUACAGCGGCAAAGGUCAAAAAACACAAAAACUAAAUUCAUCACUCUCAACUAAAAGCAGUGCCCACUCCUAAACAGUGAACUGUCCAGCCUGCGGAGAAGACUGCUAACAACAAUUUGAAACUUAAGCUGUUAUUCAAAAAACAGUAAGGGUCACUAAAAAUGCGUUGUAAUCUUUCUAAACAGUCAGAGCAUACUCCCCGCAAAAACCCUGAGCAUUGGUUUUAUUUUCUCACAAAAGGCCAACCUGGCCUAUGUAUUUGGUCUUGUUAUUUUUUAACUUGUUUGGUGUCAACAAUUCUUCUUAUCUUCUGGGUAUUUGGGUUGUUGUAGUUGUAUGUGCCCUUAUUAAAAAAAGUGUUGUACCUAUGUCCCAAAGUUUUCACAGAACAUUAACAAGCACAUCUUGUCAGCUAAACGGGCCUUUAACCAGUAAAAGCCCCCCCCCCAAAAAAAACCCCACUAUUUUAAAUUCCCUAUGGGGUUGGCUACCUGGUUUAGGAAAACUAGUGGGUAUAAGGAAAAGCAUUGUUCGCAUCUUGCUCACAGGUGUGGUAAUAUGUUUUGUUCUUGUUCUUUUGCUCAUUUGCUGUAAAGUGCUCAUAUGUAAAAUUUGUACGUCCCCCUUCCCAAAGGUUCCUUUAUAUUCUCUUAUUAAUAAUCCUAAUUGCAUAAAGCUUAAUCGCAUUCUGUCUUUAAAGUAUAAAAAAACUCUAACAAAGGUUUGUUAAGUAUUCUCAAAGAAGAAAUUGUUGGGGUCCACUAGGCAUAGCUACGAGGUAACUCGAAAAAGUAAAAGGCCAAAAGUGCCAAUAAAGCUCUUUUGCUCUGGGUCUGUAAACCACAGUAACUCCAUCUUAAAAACUCUCACCUACUUCUAUGCUAACUGCUUACAUGCUCUAAAGUAGGCUAAAGCAAAAAUGUAAUGUCAGCUUUU